rnacentral:rRNA from 1 species
GACGAACGCUGGCUGCGUGCUUAACACAUGCAAGUCGAACGCUGAAGCCUGGUGCUUGCACCGGGUGGAUGAGUGGCGAACGGGUGAGUAACACGUGAGUAACCUGCCCCUGACUUCGGGAUAAGCCCGGGAAACUGGGUCUAAUACCGGAUACGACUGCCGGACGCAUGUCUGGUGGUGGAAAGUUUUUUCGGUUGGGGAUGGGCUCGCGGCCUAUCAGUUUGUUGGUGAGGUAAUGGCUCACCAAGACGACGACGGGUAGCCGGCCUGAGAGGGCGACCGGCCACACUGGGACUGAGACACGGCCCAGACUCCUACGGGAGGCAGCAGUGGGGAAUAUUGCACAAUGGGGGAAACCCUGAUGCAGCGACGCAGCGUGCGGGAUGACGGCCUUCGGGUUGUAAACCGCUUUCAGCAGGGAAGAAGCGCAAGUGACGGUACCUGCAGAAGAAGUACCGGCUAACUACGUGCCAGCAGCCGCGGUAAUACGUAGGGUACGAGCGUUGUCCGGAAUUAUUGGGCGUAAAGAGCUCGUAGGUGGUUGGUCACGUCUGCUGUGGAAACGCAACGCUUAACGUUGCGCGUGCAGUGGGUACGGGCUGACUAGAGUGCAGUAGGGGAGUCUGGAAUUCCUGGUGUAGCGGUGAAAUGCGCAGAUAUCAGGAGGAACACCGGUGGCGAAGGCGGGACUCUGGGCUGUAACUGACACUGAGGAGCGAAAGCAUGGGGAGCGAACAGGAUUAGAUACCCUGGUAGUCCAUGCCGUAAACGUUGGGCACUAGGUGUGGGGGGCAUUCCACGUUCUCCGCGCCGUAGCUAACGCAUUAAGUGCCCCGCCUGGGGAGUACGGUCGCAAGGCUAAAACUCAAAGGAAUUGACGGGGGCCCGCACAAGCGGCGGAGCAUGCGGAUUAAUUCGAUGCAACGUGAAGAACCUUACCAAGGCUUGACAUACACCGGACCGUCCUGGAAACAGGUCUUCUUCUUUGAAGCUGGUGUACAGGUGGUGCAUGGUUGUCGUCAGCUCGUGUCGUGAGAUGUUGGGUUAAGUCCCGCAACGAGCGCAACCCUCGUUCCAUGUUGCCAGCACGUGAUGGUGGGAACUCAUAGGAGACUGCCGGGGUCAACUCGGAGGAAGGUGGGGAUGACGUCAAAUCAUCAUGCCCUUUAUGUCUUGGGCUUCACGCAUGCUACAAUGGCUGGUACAGAGAGAGGCGAACCCGUGAGGGCAAGCGAAUCCCUUAAAGCCAGUCUCAGUUCGGAUCGUAGUCUGCAAUUCGACUACGUGAAGUCGGAGUCGCUAGUAAUCGCAGAUCAGCAACGCUGCGGUGAAUACGUUCCCGGGCCU